GAAGGGUGCAAGCGUUACUCGGAAUUACUGGGCGUAAAGCGUGCGUAGGUGGUUUGUUAAGUCUGAUGUGAAAGCCCUGGGCUCAACCUGGGAACUGCAUUGGAAACUGGCUUACUAGAGUGCGGUAGAGGGUAGUGGAAUUCCCGGUGUAGCAGUGAAAUGCGUAGAUAUCGGGAGGAACAUCUGAGGCGAAGGCGACUACCUGGACCAGCACUGACACUGAGGCACGAAAGCGUGGGGAGCAAACAGGAUUAGAUACCCUGGUAGUCCACGCCCUAAACGAUGCGAACUGGAUGUUGGGAGCAACUUGGCUCUCAGUAUCGAAGCUAACGCGUUAAGUUCGCCGCCUGGGAAGUACGGUCGCAAGACUG
rnacentral:rRNA from 1 species